UACGAAGGGGGCUAGCGUUGUUCGGAAUCACUGGGCGUAAAGCGCUCGUAGGCGGCCCGGUAAGUCCGCUCUGAAAGUCCAGGGCUCAACCCUGGAAAGCGGGUGGAUACUGCCGGGCUAGAAUCCGGAAGAGGCGAGUGGAAUUCCUGGUGUAGCGGUGGAAUGCGCAGAUAUCAGGAGGAACACCAAUAGCGAAGGCAGCUCGCUGGGACGGUAUUGACGCUAAGGCGCGAAAGCGUGGGGAGCAAACAGG
rnacentral:rRNA from 1 species